GGACACUUGGACAUUCAAAGUGCGAGCGCCCAGCGACUGGUUGGUAUUAGCUACUUAGGAUCGGUGAUUUCUCAGUUUGGUCCGUGUUCGAAAGAAAAGAGGGAAAUCAUCUAACCGCAAAUAUGGAGCUCUGUUGAUGCUCUGUGAUAUGCUGGCCUUCACGGCGGAUAAAGACAGAUUUCCAAAGAUGAUCUGAUAUGUGGCUUUAGGUGGAAAAACACACACACAUGGUUUGCUUAUGAUUAUCCAGACAUACUGUUACAUAGAAUGUAAAAAAGCACCUGUAUCUGUGUUUACAUGUCACCCUCCUGCACUGUACAUUGAGCGUCACUCUAUCUGCUCUAUCUGUCUCUAAAGGAAAGAAUGCAGCCAUCAUUCCUGAACACACAUUCCUCAAAGCAAGCAAGACCCUUUUUCACAUAAUAAAACAGUAGAUUUUGAUAAAUAUAGUCAGGUUACUAGAGCUUUAAUAAAAAAGAAUCAGAGAAACAGCUUGUUUUCAAAAGUGAAAGAGGACCGAUUAUAGGCAGCUGUGGCACUCCAAACGUUCCUCUCCACCCCACGGUUAGGACAGCAGUUAGUGAGGGACUUCCUGCAUGGAAAGUUGUGUAUGUUUUCCUUCAGUGAAUUGAACAUCCUGCAGAUCUUAAAUUCCAGUCAGCAGUAAACUCUCUGACCUCUGAGCACAAAAUUAGGCACAUCAUAUAAGCAAGAGACAGCAUGGAAAGGAAGGACUGCGAAGCAAGACAAAAUGACAGAGAUAAAAGAAACAAUGAGAGACUAUUGCAGUACAACUUUUUAAAAUUACUUAUUUUAGGAAUAGGAAUGUUUAAUAAAUGAUAAAUUAUUAGCUAAAUAACCAAAACAGUUACUUUCCAUUGGAAGUAUUUAACAAGAGUUUAUUUUGUUUGUAAAAGUACAAAUAAUAAUAAUAAUAAAUAAUAAAGUUUUUUUUUUUUCCUGACCUGAUUAUUAAGCAAAUUAUGUUACCUGAUGGCAAACAUAUUUUACUUUUAAGCUAGUCACUGGACAAAAAUCAAUUUAUUAUGACAAAUGCAUGCAACAAGAGGGUCAUCUAAUACUGUUAGUCCAUUCUAUGUUUGAAAACACAAUGAUGUUAAGAGCCACGAAAGUGUCAGAUUUCAUCUACUAUUACAUGGACAGCAUUGUCAUUUACAACAUAUGCGGUGAACCCUGUCUGCCAAUGUGUUUAUAGAGCUAUUAUCAAUUGACUGAUGAAACAAACUGCUCACCAGUCAACAUAUGUUCCUGAUUUGCUGGAUUUAUUUGAUUUGAAACCAUGUGUUUUCUGUUUUGAAAUGAUCAUGGAGGUUUGUCACAUAGCAUUCUUUGUGGAUCACAAGCAUUAGAUUGUUGGUAAUACUAUAAUUUUACUAUUGAAAGUUUUUUUUUUUUUUUUUUUUUGGAAUCAAGCGGUGGGGAAUAUUCCUGGAGAACAGAUGGGCAUUUCUAUCCACGGAGUGCAUUUUCUUAAUAUACUGUACAGGGCUUUAUAGUAGACACUAGAUGUGAACUGAAAUGUGUUGUUUCUUCAUCCCCAUACUGCAUUUAUAAAAUAUAUUCAUUAGCUAAGCAUUCAAUGUUUGUGAUCUAUGUCAUUUUGUCCUGAAAUAUCCCCAUUUUGCUAGUCAUAUAUACGAAAGAGCUCAAAGGUAAGUGGCCUAAACCUUGUUAGCCUUAAAGGCUUGUACUUUUUUUUUUUUUUCACCAACCCCUGGGGUUUACCUACUACACAGGUGUGCAUCAACUGAAUAUAAAUAAAUAUAUAUAUAUAUAUAUAUAUAUAUAUAUAUAUAUAUAUAUAUAUAUAUAUAUAUAUAUAUAUAUAUAUAUAUAUAUUUUUUUUUUUCCCUGCACAAACUGUAUCAUGUUUAUUGAGAUAUGUAAAAGCCUCUAAAUAAAUAAUUUUUCAUAUGUGCAUAUUA
ensembl:lincRNA